UACGUAGGAGGCAAGCGUUGUCCGGAAUUACUGGGCGUAAAGCGCGUGUAGGUGGUGGGACAAGUCUGCUGUGAAAUCGCCCGGCUCAACUGGGCGGGGUCGGUGGAAACUGGUCACCUGGAGGACGGUAGAGGCGAGUGGAAUUCCCGGUGUAGUGGUGAAAUGCGUAGAGAUCGGGAGGAACACCAGUGGCGAAGGCGGCUCGCUGGGCCGGCCCUGACGCUGAGACGCGAAGGCGUGGGGAGCGAACGGG
rnacentral:rRNA from 1 species